CCUACGGGAGGCAGCAGUAGGGAAUCUUGCUCAAUGGGGGAAACCCUGAACCAGCAACGCCGCGUGGAGGAUGACGGUUUUCGGAUUUUAAACUCCUUUUUUUACAGAAGAUAAUUGCGGUAUCUAACGACUCCUCACCGUCUAACUCCGUUCCCACAGCCGCGGUAAUACGGAGGGUGCAAGCGUUACUCGGAAUCACUGGGCGUAAAGAGCGCGUAGGCGGGAUAGCAAGUCAGAUGUGAAAUCCUUUGGCUUAACCAUAGAACUGCAGUUGAAACUGUUAUUCUAGAGUAUGGUAGAGGUAGGCGGAAUGCUUGGUGUAGGGGUAAAAUCCGUAGAGAUCAAGAGGAAUACUCAUUGCGAAGGCGACCUGCUAGAACAUAACUGACGCUGAUGCGCGAAAGCGUGGGGAGCAAACAGGAUUAGAUACCCGAGUAGUC
rnacentral:rRNA from 1 species